GCAGUCGAGCGAACAGAUAAGGAGCUUGCUCCUUUGACGUUAGCGGCGGACGGGUGAGUAACACGUGGAUAACCUACCUAUAAGACUGGGAUAACUUCGGGAAACCGGAGCUAAUACCGGAUAAGAUUUUGAACCGCAUGGUUCAAUAGUGAAAGACGGCCUUGCUGUCACUUAUAGAUGGAUCCGCGCCGUAUUAGCUAGUUGGUAAGGUAACGGCUUACCAAGGCAACGAUACGUAGCCGACCUGAGAGGGUGAUCGGCCACACUGGAACUGAGACACGGUCCAGACUCCUACGGGAGGCAGCAGUAGGGAAUCUUCCGCAAUGGGCGAAAGCCUGACGGAGCAACGCCGCGUGAGUGAUGAAGGUCUUCGGAUCGUAAAACUCUGUUAUCAGGGAAGAACAAACGUGUAAGUAACUGUGCACGUCUUGACGGUACCUGAUCAGAAAGCCACGGCUAACUACGUGCCAGCAGCCGCGGUAAUACGUAGGUGGCAAGCGUUAUCCGGAAUUAUUGGGCGUAAAGCGCGCGUAGGCGGUUUUUUAAGUCUGAUGUGAAAGCCCACGGCUCAACCGUGGAGGGUCAUUGGAAACUGGAAAACUUGAGUGCAUAAGAGGAAAGUGGAAUUCCAUGUGUAGCGGUGAAAUGCGCAGAGAUAUGGAGGAACACCAGUGGCGAAGGCGACUUUCUGGUCUGUAACUGACGCUGAUGUGCGAAAGCGUGGGGAUCAAACAGGAGUAGAUACCCUGGUAGUCCACGCCGUAAACGAUGAGUGCUAAGUGUUAGGGGGUUUCCGCCCCUUAGUGCUGCAGCUAACGCAUUAAGCA
rnacentral:rRNA from 1 species